rnacentral:rRNA from 1 species
AUGAACGCUAGCGGCAGGCCUCACACAUGCAAGUCGAGGGAGAGGUUACCUUCGGGUAACCAAAACCGGCGCACGGGUGCGUAACGCGUAUACAAUCUGCCUUUCACAUAGGGAUAGCCCGAAGAAAUUUGGAUUAAUACCUAAUGGUAUAUAAGAGCGGCAUCGUUUUUAUAUUAAAGCUACGGUGGUGAAAGAUGAGUAUGCGUUCUAUUAGCUAGUUGGAGAGGUAACGGCUCCCCAAGGCGACGAUAGAUAGGGGUUCUGAGAGGGAUGUCCCCCACACUGGUACUGAGAUACGGACCAGACUCCUACGGGAGGCAGCAGUGAGGAAUAUUGGACAAUGGUCGGAAGACUGAUCCAGCCAUGCCGCGUGCAGGAUGAAGGUCCUAUGGAUUGUAAACUGCUUUUGUAAGGGAAGAAUAAGGAGUACGUGUACUUUGAUGACGGUACCUUACGAAUAAGCAACGGCUAACUCCGUG